GGGUCAGUAGGUUGGUCGUGCCACCGGUACGUACUGGUCUCACUGAUUCCUCCUUCCUGAAGAACCGUAAUGCCAUUAAUUUGGUGUUGCUGGGAAACAGGACUGUUACUUUGAAAAAAUCAGAGUGUUUAAAGCAAGCUAACGCUUGAAUACAUUAGCAUGGAAUAAUGAAAUAGGACGAUCGAUCCUAUUUUGUUGGUUUCUAGGAUUGACGUA
rnacentral:rRNA from 1 species